rnacentral:lncRNA from 1 species
GGCUGCUGCCUUUCUUUUAUUCUAUUUUGUUUUUGCCGAAGACCACUGCUUCCCCUUGGAUUCGACGCCACCGAUGUUACUCAUCCCCUCCACCGAAACAAUUUCUGCUCAGCACUCACGCACACCUCCACCCACUGAACUUUCCUUGCCACACGUCCACGCCUCCAACACCUCGGUCAACUAAAGGGAUUCUCCCCCAGCAAAGUUGACUCCCCCUGCAGCAGCACGCGUCCAAGCCGUCCAUCUCCACCAUCGGCUUCUCAUUUUGGCCGCGAUUUCUUUGCUCGGUCAGCCUUCGCCGUGAAGCCCCCAUCUUUGAGCGCUUCUGUUUCGUUGUUCUGUCCAGCAAUAAUCGAAAUAGCCUAGCCCACCGAUCCAUCCUUCACGUUGCAGCAGGCCCACACGACCAGCCCUCUCGAAGCCUGCUUCAGCCUUCGAAGUUCAAGACCAAAACCAGCAGCUUCUGUGCCGGUUUUCUCAGCUUGAGUAGCAAGUUCGUAGGCCGAUUUUGGCCCGGUCCGAGCUCUGUUGGCCUCGCCGUGAGCUUAAGUCUCGGCUGCCAUUGUGCCGCUGUCGCCGUGAGCUGAUUUUCGUGCAAACCGGUGAGUUGCGUUCUAAUCCUUAAUUAGUGGGCUAAUGACGCUUAGAUGUGUGUUAGUUAGCUAAUUAGUGGAUUAAUUAUGUUAAUUAGGCUUAGGAUGGCUUAGUUAGAUUAAGUAUAUAGUUAGUAUUUGGUUAGUUUAAUUAGUUUAGUUAGGUGGAUUAGUUAGGAAUUAGUUAGUUCAUUUAGUUAGUGUACUUAGAUUAAAUUAUAUAGGAUGGUUAGAUUUAAUUAUUAGUUAGAUUAUUUAGUUUAGUUAGUUUAGGUUAAUUCAAUUAAAUGCUUUAAAUUUAUUUAUUUUGUAAUUUAUUUAAUUUCCGGUAAUUUAUUUAAUUAUUAAUUAUUUUCUGGAAAUUAGACCAGGAUAGCCGGUGAUCGGAAUUUUGUACUAAUUGCAAUGGUGUGUUUAGUUUAUGCAAUUAGAUGUUAAUUUGUGCAAAUUGAGUGCUGAUUGGAAUUUUCAGUAUUUAAUUCCAAAAUUCGUGAAAUUCAUUAUUUAUUCAGAAAAUCCUGGGUGUUGGAUUUUAACACAAAAAAUAGUUUGAUACACAAUAUAAACUAGUGGGAUUUUAAAUUGGAGGAUAUCAAUUUUUCUAGUGUGAAUUGACUGUGUACCCACACACGACUAUUUUACCGUGUAUUUCUAAUACGAAGAAAAUAUACCAGGUUCACUAUUUUAAUUGAGGCAUUUGAGUGUAAUAUACAAUGUCCUGGGCUGAGAUUGAUUGGUCGUGUGAUGAUUAAGAGAAACCGUCCUAGGCUGUUAAGCCGGACGUUACCCAUUCAUUAGGACUCGGGUCGCAGUAGAUUCUGGACUUAUGCCCCUUUGGGGAAGCCGUCUAAUUAAGAGACGUCGCUAUACUCAAAGGAGGUGAGACGACGCCUGAUAAUGCUAGAAGACCGCCAAAUUCAGAGUUGGCCGUACCCUUAAGGGGUGUAAUUAACAAUUGGAACACAUGAUUGUUGAGUUGAUGAGGUGUUCCGGUUGUUAUAUGCAUUGCGAUAUGAACUGUACUGAUGUGCAAGAAGGUAACUGAGGCGAGGUAAGUCCUCUGUGCCAAUUGAGUGUUUGUGUGGUUAGGACACUUCUAGGUGUAUUUCCCUCCUAAUCGGGGCUUAGACCGUGAACUUGCUAAGAUUUAUAUCUCAUCCCAUCAUGGGCUUAAAAUUUUCAGGACCAUAGAGAGCGGACUUGGAGCUGAGCUGAGGUGACUUGAAGAGUAUGUCAGAUAGGACAGCCUCUUUUUGAGAACUAGUCUUUUGGUUAUAGACUUGUGUAAAUGACUCGGUAUGUUUAUAAAAGUGUGGUUUGUUUGAUAAUGUGAUGUUUUGCUUUUCUAUCCUGAUAUGAUUACUGUUAG